rnacentral:tRNA from 1 species
ACACCGGGAGGACAUCCAUGCAAGUUGGAUCGUCCUGA